AGUGAACGCUGGCGGUAGGCCUAACACAUGCAAGUCGAACGGCAGCACAGUAAGAGCUUGCUCUUACGGGUGGCGAGUGGCGGACGGGUGAGGAAUACAUCGGAAUCUACUUUUUCGUGGGGGAUAACGUAGGGAAACUUACGCUAAUACCGCAUACGACCUACGGGUGAAAGCAGGGGAUCUUCGGACCUUGCGCGAUUGAAUGAGCCGAUGUCGGAUUAGCUAGUUGGCGGGGUAAAGGCCCACCAAGGCGACGAUCCGUAGCUGGUCUGAGAGGAUGAUCAGCCACACGGGAACUGAGACACGGUCCAGACUCCUACGGGAGGCAGCAGUGGGGAAUAUUGGACAAUGGGCGCAAGCCUGAUCCAGACAUACCGCGUGGGUGAAGAAGGCCUUCGGGUUGUAAAGCCCUUUUGUUGGGAAAGAAAAGCAGCAGGUUAAUACCCCGCUGUUCUGACGGUACCCAAAGAAUAAGCACCGGCUAACUUCGUG
rnacentral:rRNA from 1 species